rnacentral:misc_RNA from 1 species
GCGGAGUUAAAGGUAUCACUGUAUCAGGUUGGAAUAUCCAAGUUAAAUAUCAUAGACAGGAAUUAUGAAUCAUCACACUACUUGAUCCAUCAAAAGGAACGCACUAAUACAUAAAUUCUUGGAAACAACUAAUACAAUCUCGUUCCCGAAUUUGGGAUUUUAUGCUAGUUACAUGGGGUGACGUAAAAAUUUACAUUCUUUUUGGUAGCUUCAAGAUCACAAAACGACUCGGUAUUUGAUACAUCAUGCUACGUGCUUGUACAGAAACACGAUUGUGUAGUUCCAUCCGAUUCUGCUCUAUCAAUGUUGAGAAAGUUAUAUUUAACCCCAUGUUCAUUUAUGUAGACCAACAAGAACCCCAUUUGCCAUGUUUUCAUAUGAUAUAUCACCAACCUGUGAAAUACCGAAAAAGCAACAUCACCACUAGAACCGCCGGAUAUCUUUAGGUGGCUUGAAGUUGAGGGGAUGAGUUUCUGGGGUUGCAGUUUCAUCCUCUUUCCACAUUUUAAUAGUCUUGUCUGCCUCACAUGAAACAAGCCUUGAACCAGUUAUAUCAUAUGAGAGUGCAUAAAUACCAGCUUCACUAUCCAAUGAGCCAGGCUGUACAAUUGUUUGGGCUUGCUGGAAAUUAUGACCACUCCU